rnacentral:rRNA from 1 species
GAUGAACGCUGGCGGCGUGCCUAAUACAUGCCAGUCGAGCGAACGGACGAGAAGCUUGCUUUUCUGAUGUUAGCGGCGGACGGGUGAGUAACACGUGGAUAACCUACCUAUAAGACUGGGAUAACUUCGGGAAACCGGAGCUAAUACCGGAUAAUAUUUUGAACCGCAUGGUUCAAAAGUGAAAGACGGUCUUGCUGUCACUUAUAGAUGGAUCCGCGCUGCAUUAGCUAGUUGGUAAGGUAACGGCUUACCAAGGCAACGAUGCAUAGCCGACCUGAGAGGGUGAUCGGCCACACUGGAACUUAGACACGGUCCAGACUCCUACGGGAGGCAGCAGUAGGGAAUCUUCCGCAAUGGGCGAAAGCCUGACGGAGCAACGCCGCGUGAGUGAUGAAGGUCUUCGGAUCGUAAAACUCUGUUAUUAGGGAAGAACAUAUGUGUAAGUAACUGUGCACAUCUUGACGGUACCUAAUCAGAAAGCCACGGCUAACUACGUG